UACGGGAGGCAGCAGUGGGGAAUAUUGCACAAUGGGCGAAAGCCUGAUGCAGCUAUGCCGCGUGUAUGAAGAAGGCCUUAGGGUUGUAAAGUACUUUCAUCGGGGAGGAAAAAACAAAACUAAUAAUUUUAUUUCUUGACGUUACCCGAAAAAGAAGCACCGGCUAACUCCGUGCCAGCAGCCGCGGUAAUACGGAGGGUGCUAGCGUUAAUCAGAAUUACUGGGCGUAAAGAGCACGUAGGUGGUUUUUUUAAAGUCAGAUGUGAAAUCCCUGGGCUUAACCUAGGAACUGCAUUUUGAAACUGAAAUACUAGAGUAUCGUAGAGGGAGGUAGAAUUCUAGGUGUAGCGGUGAAAUGCGUAGAUAUCUGGAGGGAUACCUGUGGCGAAAGCGGCCUCCUAAACGAAUACUGACACUGAGGUGCGAAAGCGUGGGGAGCAAACAGGGAUUAGAUACC
rnacentral:rRNA from 1 species